AUUGAACGCUGGCGGCAUGCUUUACACAUGCAAGUCGAACGGUAACAGGCUUUCGGUUGCUGACGAGUGGCGAACGGGCGGGUAAUUCAUCGGAACGUACCCAGAGGUGGGGGAUAACGCAGCUAAAGCUGUGCUAAUACCGCAUGUGAUCUGAGGAUGAAAUCGAGGGACCGAGCAGCAAUGUUUGGCCUCGCGCCUUUGGAGUGGCCGAUGUGGGAUUAGCUAGUUGGUCGGGUAAAGGCCUACCCAGGCGACGAUCCGUAGCUGGUCUGAGAGGACGAUCGCCGGCACUGGGACUUGGACACGGACCAGACGCCUGCGGGAGGGAGCAGUGGGGAAUUUUAGACAGUGGGCGCAAGCCUGAUCCAGCAAUGCCGAGCGCGGGAAGAAGGCCUUCGGGGUGUAAUGCGCUUUUGGCAGGAACGAAACGGUGUCGGCUAAUACGGAGCGCUAAUGACGGUAACUGCAGAAUAAGCACCGGCUAACUACGUG
rnacentral:rRNA from 1 species